rnacentral:lncRNA from 1 species
AAAUGAAACUCUGACAGAAGGAACCUAGAAUGGACACACACUUUCAAGAAUAUAAAUAAUUUUUACGACCUGUAUUAUGUAAAAAUUAAAAAUAAAAUAAAAACUCUAUAGAAGGAACAGUAAAUCAACACAAGAUUUAAACUUUACAGUACCCAAAAUCAAAUAUUUUAGAAAAUACAUACCAAAACAUUAGAGACAAGAACAGCAGAAUGCUUCGAAUCCGCAGUCCAAAAAUAUAGCAUUUCAGGCCUCCAAGCUAUCGAUGGCUAUAGUUCAAAAAAAUGGGUAUAAGAAAAUGAGAAAUUUUUUUCCGACAAAGAAAAAGAAUGGAUGAGUUUCAGUGAGAGAGAUGGAGGGUGGGACGGAGGGUGCGCACAUGUGACAUUAGGGUUCAGUAAGUGGUGUAUAAUGUGGGAAAUUGUUUGAGAAGAG